rnacentral:rRNA from 1 species
UACGGAGGGGGGCUAGCGUUGUUCGGAAUUACUGGGCGUAAAAGCGCACGUAGGCGGCUUUGUAAGUUAGAGGUGAAAGCCCAGGGCUUAACCCUGGAAUUGCCUUUAAGACUGCAUCGCUAGAAUCGUGGAGAGGUGAGUGGAAUUCCGAGUGUAGAGGUGAAAUUCGUAGAUAUUCGGAAGAACACCAGUGGCGAAGGCGACUCACUGGACACGUAUUGACGCUGAGGUGCGAAAAGCGUGGGGGAGCAAACAGGGAUUAGAAA